GUUAACUUUAGUUACUGUGAAUUCUGGUCUCCAAGUUGGUGUGUCAGCCACUCUUCUGGUGGGACAUCAUAUGAAGCACACAGUCUAUACAUGUCAGAGUGCUCCUAAUUUGCACCAUAAACAUGGCUGUAGAGAGUCUGUGGUUAGUUUUACAAUAUUAAGGAAAAGUCGAAGUGCCCUGGAAUAUCGCCUCUCUGCCCCUUCUAUGUUCCCCUCCCUGUAUGCCACCCC